CAUACAUACAUGCAUGCAUGCAUGCAUGCAUGCAUGCAUGCAUGCAUGCAUGCAUGCAUGCAUGCAUGCAUGCAUGCAUGCAUGCAUACAUGCAUACA
rnacentral:pre_miRNA from 11 species